rnacentral:misc_RNA from 1 species
UAAUAAGUGUUUUAUGGCACUUUUUAAAUCCAUAUCCACCUUGUGUGCAAUGUCAGUCGAUCUUCUUCUUUGAGGAUCGACCAAACAUCAACCUUUAUCUUUUAACUCUUUGUCUGAAAAAUAUUUAUGAAUAAACAAUUCAAAAUA